GGGCUCGCACUGGUUUCGACAGGGAUAGGGAAGGUGUGGCUGCAAGUCGGAGGGACACGUUAAGUCCAAAAUUAAAUAUAACUGGAAACAGAAAUAGUAAUUUAGUACCUUCAUUUGCCUAGGAUUGGCUUGGUACUACUCUUUUAACUUUUUAGCUCACAAGAAGUUUUAAGGGUUCGCAUUUAGUGAGAUUAGUUAUUAUAGAGCUUAGAUAUAAUAAUGAAAUUUUAUAAGCUUACUAAAAAGUAGGUUGUUAGUUGCUUUUCUUUUUAGGACAUUUUUUAACUAACUAAACUUGUAGAUGCUGCAUUGGAACUAUUUUUGGACAGGAGUUCGACUCUCCUCGGGUCCACCA
rnacentral:tmRNA from 1 species